rnacentral:rRNA from 1 species
AUUGAACGCUGGCGGCAGGCCUAACACAUGCAAGUCGAACGGUAACAGGAAGAAGCUUGCUUCCUUGCUGACGAGUGGCGGACGGGUGAGUAAUGUCUGGGAAACUGCCUGAUGGAGGGGGAUAACUACUGGAAACGGUAGCCAAUACCGCAUAACGUCGCAAGACCAAAAAGGGGGACCUUCGGGCCUCUUGCCAUCGGAUGUGCCCAGAUGGGAUUAGCUGGUAGGGGGGGUAACGGCCCACCUAGGCGACGAUCGCUGGUUGGUCUGAGGGGAGAACCGGCAACACUGGAAUGGAGACACGGUCCAGACUCCAACGGGAGGCAGCGGGGGGAAUAUUGCACAAUGGGCGCAAGCCUGAUGCAGCAAUGCCGCGUGUAUGAAGAAGGCCUUCGGGUUGUAAAGUGCUUUCGGCGGGGAGGAAGGGGGUAAGGUUAAUACCUUUGCUCAUUGACGUUACCCUAAGAAGAAGCACCGGCUAACUCCGUG